rnacentral:misc_RNA from 1 species
AUGUCUUCUUCUAAACGUAUUGCUAAAGAACUAAGUGAUCUAGAAAG